GUCUCCUCCAUCUUACUCGUACCCGGCUCCAGAGUACAAGGCUCCUCCCACGGUUCCUUCGUCUCCAGCUCCGGUUUACAAGCCUCCCACGGUUCCUUCCACUCCAGCUCCGGUUUACAAGCCUCCCACGCCUUCUCCCGUCUACAAGCCUCCCACUCCGGUUUACAAGCCUCCGACUCCUUCUCCGGUGUACAAGUCUCCUCCGCCUCCGUCGUCGGGCUACUAGCGCGAGCGAAGUGAAAGCA
rnacentral:lncRNA from 1 species